rnacentral:rRNA from 1 species
CAGCCGCCACGGUAAUACGUAGGUGGCAAGCGUUGUCCGGAAUUAUUGGGCGUAAAGGGCUCGCAGGCGGUUUCUUAAGUCUGAUGUGAAAGCCCCCGGCUCAACCGGGGAGGGUCAUUGGAAACUGGGAAACUUGAGUGCAGAAGAGGAGAGUGGAAUUCCACGUGUAGCGGUGAAAUGCGUAGAGAUGUGGCGGAACACCAGUGGCGAAGGCGACUCUCUGGUCUGUAACUGACGCUGAGGAGCGAAAGCGUGGGGAGCGAACAGGAUUAGAUACCCGCGUAGUCCCUGUCUCUUAUAC